UACGAAGGGGGCUAGCGUUGCUCGGAAUCACUGGGCGUAAAGGGUGCGUAGGCGGGUCUUUAAGUCAGGGGUGAAAUCCUGGAGCUCAACUCCAGAACUGCCUUUGAUACUGAAGAUCUUGAGUUCGGGAGAGGUGAGUGGAACUGCGAGUGUAGAGGAGAAAUUCGUAGAUAUUCGCAAGAACACCAGUGGCGAAGGCGGCUCACUGGCCCGAUACUGACGCUGAGGCACGAAAGCGUGGGGAGCAAACAGG
rnacentral:rRNA from 1 species